rnacentral:rRNA from 1 species
CAAUAGCGUAUAUUUAAGUUGCUGCAGUUAAAAAGCUCGUAGUUGGAUUUCGGGUGGGAAUGGCCGGUCCGCCGUUUCGGUGUGCACUUGCUACGCCCACCUUGCUGCCGGGGACGUGCCCUUGAGUUCACGCUCGGGACACGGAGUCGGCGAGGUUACUUUGAGUAAAUUAGAGUGUUCAAAGCAGGCCUACGCUCUGAAUACAUUAGCAUGGAAUAACACGAUAGGACUCUGGCCUAUCUUGUUGGUCUGUAGGACCGGAGUAAUGAUUAAGAGGGACAGUCGGGGGCAUUCGUAUUUCAUUGUCAGAGGUGAAAUUCUUGGAUUUAUGAAAGACGAACUACUGCGAAAGCAUUUGCCAAGGAUGUUUUCAUUAA